CAGGAGGACCGGGCGGUCGCUGCCGGAGCGCGCAAGCGUUCCGGGGGAGGAAAGUCCGAACUCCGCAGGGCAGUGUGCCGGAUAACGUCCGGGACGCGGGCUUCAAAGCCCGUGGACGGCCAGUGCCACAGAGAAUAUACCGCCGCUGCGCGGGGCAGACUUUUGGACGAAGGGUUCUGGCCGACCAACAGGCCUUGAUCCAGGAGUCUGCCCCACGCAGUGGUAAGGGUGAAAAGGUGCGGUAAGAGCGCACCGCCGGUGCAGUAAUGCAGCGGGCAUGGUAAACCCCACACGGAGCAAGACCAAAUAGGGAGGGAGUCGCGGGUUGAGAGCCAGACACGCGGCGCGUACCGGCCCGGUACGACAAGACGGCUCGAGCAAUCGUCGAAACCUCCGGGUAGGUCGCUGAUGAGUGUCCGCGGCAACGCGGCGCCUAGAGGAAUGACCGCACACGACAGAAUUCGGCUUACAGGUCUUCUUGCCGG
rnacentral:RNase_P_RNA from 1 species